rnacentral:misc_RNA from 1 species
CCUGCGAAUUAACGACUCUAGUGCAGAAGGCCGUUGAAGAUCAUUGUCAGUUUUUAGCACUGCAAGCACUCUUCUCCUGAAGUUUCCGAGGAUGCACUCUCUCAUGUACUCCCUCAGAACAAAUACAUGGUUUAGAACACAUAUCGGCUCCAUGUCAUUCAAAACUGAACAUAAGUUUGUCAACCUUUGCAUUGCAGCUUCUAACAUUUUUAUAGAGCUAUUAUUCUCAGGAUAGCUCUCGUGACCAGGCAGAGGAAAUCCAACUGCUCCUUUAGGAGAUUUUGCUGAAGGAAUUGAAACUCUAGAUGCAUUAUUCAAAUAAAAAGCUGCCUGCUCCGGAAGAAGCUGAGUCUCUAAGGCGCCAAACCCUCCUUCAGAAUCAAGAAUAUUGAUCAAGCCCUCCAAUCCUCCCAUGAUAGAUUCAAUAAGAGAUUCAACAUAUAGGACUGCAUCUCG